CCGUGCCGCUGGGACAAGGAUGUCUGCUCCGGUACCCGCGGCUGGAAGGAGAGCGCCCUCCUCGCCUCAGCUCACCUCCCGAGUCGCCGGCCUCCUUCCCGCAGCGGGGAGUCCCCACUGCGGGGUCUCCUCCGCGUGUGCGGCGCUGCCCCGCGCUGCGCUCUGAGUGACCCUCUCAGGCACCACCGAAGUGAGUCACGGCUGUGCUCGUACUGCCGGAACUGAACUCGCUGAAGGGCAAAACGCAGGAUCUCCCCAGGCAUGAAUUUCUCACAUCACGAGCAGGGGUGCCCAGGGUUGUCAUUUCCUAUCGCGCUUUUACAUGGUCCCACACACCUGCUCCACUUCUCCAUCUUUCCUCCUGCUUUUCCUACUGUUCACUUGUUUCUUUCCUGACACCUUUGUUUCAGUUUGUGUUGUUUACUCUUUUUUUGUUCUCCUUCAUUCACAAUGAACGCCAAGGGAAGUUUCAAAAAAAAAAUCCAGUUUCUGCUUUGUGAGGAGCUUGAAGAACAGCGGGAAGAUGGUUGUGUGGAAGGGAAGUGACAGAGGGACUGAGCAGAACGGUUCAAGAAGGAGCAGAUGGAAACAGCUGCCAACAGAUGAGGACUGGAACAGAUUCAAGCCAUGCUACUUGCUGGAACUUGAGAGUUUGUGAUGGCCUGAGCUUACGGAAUGACAGGAGAGGUGCUCCAUCCCUCUGAUCAUCUUGGUGGCGCUUCCCUGGACUCACUCCAACAGGUCCAUGUCCUUCCUGUGCUAGGGGGCCCAGAACUGGAUGCAGCACUCCAGGUGGGGUCUCACCAGAGCAGAGUAGAGGGGGAGAAUCACCUCCCUUGAUCUUCUGACCACGAUUUGGGCCCUAAUGAGGGGCUUGGUCACCAGAAGAUUGCGUUGUGGUCUUGCUGUCAUCUCCUCUUCCUGUGCAUCUGCUCCACCCGCCUUCUGAUGAAAGAGGUAAGCCCAAUCUUCGUGGGAUGGAGUGUUUUCUGCACAUAGUGAAACCAAUGGGAGACCUUUACGAAGUUGGACUUUGAAGAUGCUGAGGGGGCAGUCCUGCCUUGAAAUCUCCUCUGAUCCGUGGGAGCCUGGCCUGCUCCACAAGAAUGGUCCUGAGCCUCGACACUGAUUUAUCAUCAAUCGUGACCACAAGCGCCUGGAUGUGGAAGAAAUCCCCAUGGCUGCUACCUUUUCUGUGCCUCUGGGACAGGGAAAAUCAGCAAGCUUGGAGCACAACUCUGCCACAGGAAGAAGGAGAAGCAACUGCGCUGCUCUGUUCAACACAGGGCAGCUUGCUCUUCGCAGAACAUUGAUCUUCAAGGCCACACAUGAUUAAAGGAGUCAGAGACAUUCCCUGGAAUUAACUGUUCCCUCUUUACUUUUUCUGCUUGAAAGGUAAGAGCUGUACAAAUUCCCUCUUUAAUAGUGACCUAACAGUGAAUACAAUGACUAAUCUGUCAUCACAGUAUUUAGAGCUGAUGACGAUAUCUAGAUUGGUUUUCAGUGUGUUUUUUGUUUUUAUUUUACUGUUAUGUUUAUACAAAAGCCAUAAAUCAUAGGUUGUUUCACACCGGUUGUAGCUGCUGAAUAUUCUUAUCCAGCAGAAGUGCCCUGAUGGUUACUUUCCAAUGACAACCUGCUCAGGGCUUAACAUUUUUCAGUUGCAUGGAAAGCUUUCAAGGUUACACAUAUAUACUGAAUGAAACACAGCCCACUGGUUAUUUUUAGAGAGCUCUAAACAAGAAGUAAAUCCCUGGAGCAGUGCUGCCAGAGAUGCAUAAAGUUCAAAUCCAAAUUAAAACUGCCUAUCUUUGGCCUAAAUUCCAAUAUGAACUUGAGGAAAACUGUGAUCUAUAACUUGAACUUUACGACAAAAAAUCCUUUGCAAUUAGUUUCUAAUACCUGAGAAUACAUGAGUGUGUUACAAACACCUGAAAAUUAGAAGUUGAAUGAAAAAAUGGGAACAUUUGUCCAAAAAUGUAGUACUUGGGUCUUGUAAGAUACUCUUGUAUGACUUUAAGUUUCAGUAGCUGCACUGGAAUUUGGAGAGUCUAAUUUUUUGUGAUCCCUAGUUUCAAUAUAUUUUUGUAAGACCAAGUGCUAUAAUAUAAUUGUAAAUUUUGGGGGCAGCAGAAGAAACGUGUUUAUUUACUGAUCCCUUUAAUAAUGACCUAUGAUGCCCAGGUCUUGGUUUAGAAAUCACCAAGAUAGAAUAUGGAGAAAGUAGAUCCCUUUUCAGCAACAUAUUUAUGCAAAGUAGUUGAAAGCAGUGCAACUGAAGCAUGUUCUUGAUUUCUUUGCUGAAUCAGAGCCUGUAUCUUCUUCCUGCCAAGGCAGCAAUCUAAUACCACUCCUAAAUGCACUAGUAAUUCUAGAUGCCCUAAUGAAAGUCAAGAUAACACCACAGAUUUUAUAAAUAAGGGUCUUUAUUUAGAAUACUGUUGAAAACAUUCUUGGCAAUCACAUCGUAUAAAUAUAUAAAGUUAAAGUUUGACACAACAAACCAAGCAAUAUUAAAUAUUUUUAAAUUUACCCCUUUUUGUUUUAAUUUUUGAUUUUGUUUCUUUUUUCUUUAUUUUCUUUUUUAUCCUUGUUUUUGUUUGGUUUUUUUUUUUUUUUUUUGGCAAAGCAACUCUUAUUUACAAUUAUACAAAAAGUUAAAAAAAAAUGGUCCACAACCUUAUUUUGGCCAGAACAGGACUAAUAGGAAGGAUCUGUCAUGCCACUACUGUUGUAGAUUUACAUUUUCCUCCACAUUCAAGAGCUAGGUUCCUAUUCCCCACAGCCCAGAUUAAACAUUGGCCAUUUCGUGGUAUACAAUUUUAUCUCUAGACAUAUUAAAUAACUUUAACAACCAAUAAAUAACUAUGUGUAUUUUUGAAGUGAUACAGGUUUGAAAAGUUACAUAUUUGAAGGAAUUUUGAGUGAUAUUUUAAAACUGGAAUAAGUCUUAAGAAGUCUUUUCAAUCUUAGAAGGCAGGUCUCAAGCAUGGCCAGAUGGAGCAAAUUGUUUUCAGUGCAGUCCAGCUGGACCAGCCCUUACAGCACUUGGUAGAUGGGGUUGCUGCUGCUGUUAUCCUGGGGAAGUGGGGUGCAGUUGGUGGGGGAAGGAAUUUGGGCUCCGCUAUCAUUUAGACUCACUCCUUCUGGGGGGGAACAGGGACUCCCUUCAGCAACAGUUUCCACUGGAGGCAGUAUAGGACAUGUGGAAUUAUCUGUGGAAAUCCUCUCUACAAUGCUUGAGAGGCAAUCGAGACUGGAGACAACAGAACUCUUCCCAUGCUUUGGAUCUAAAAAACAGACAGAAAGGGGCUCAGAUUAUCCAGUGGGUACUUAACAUCAGUAGGCAGUUACACAUUUGUGAGUAUGUGAAGUUUCAGAGGAAAUUAAUAUUAGUGAAGGAUGCCAAUUAUCAGAAAAGAGAGACUGUAAUUGCAAAAUGGAAGAGGCCCAACCACAAUGUGCUGCUCUGAGGCCAUGGCUUCACUUAGUCCAUAGAAAGGCAAGAUUUGAAAUCAAUCCGAAAUUUCUCCAGUUUGAAUCAAAGACUGAUAGAGUAGGAAGAAUCUUCAUGCAAAACAUGGUUAAACGCAGAAACUUAGUUACAGAGAGGAAAAUACUUUUAUCCAAAUGUUGUAUUUGCAAAAUAGGAAACGCAGCUAUAACAUAUACUCGUAUUUGCAAAUACAUCUAGAGGAAAUUCAAUGCCCCUUCAAGCAGCAACAGCUUGCUGGCUGGAAAGGCAGGUUCCUCUUUCAGCCCAGCUGGAGACAGAGCAGGCACAGGGCAGUUUGCUGCACUGCCUGCCUCUGUCUCCGUGUUCCACACUGCUGUUACGGCACGUACUCACCAUUUGGUGAUUCCGUGUAGUAGCUGCUGUCAUAGCUGUUUCUUCGGCGAGAGCUGCAAGGAGGCCCGCUGUACUCCAUCUGGAAAAGAGAGAAAUCUGAGUGAGGUCACUGCCCUUACAGAAAUCCCAAUAACCAUCUAAAUUCAUAUUUCAGUCCUUGGUCUGGGCCAUCAUUCCAGUCCUGGCUGAAAUGCCAUCAAGUUGUAGUUUCUUUGAAUGAGGAAGAACAUAACAGCUAGAAGGGGAUCCAGAAUAUUUUAUGUGGCACAGCUGUUACCACUACUGCAUCAAAUGCUGAAGCUUUACAGAUGAUAUGAGGCCUUCCAGCAUUCUGAUCAGAUACAGCCUUACAUGUAUUUUCAGUUUAGAACAGGGAGACUGAAAGGACAAUAAGGUCUUUUAGUUAGUUUUGAAGAUUUUCAAAACAUGAGUUCCUCUUAAAAAGCCUCUGUCUACCCUUGUUCCUUUGUAUUGCCUUUAGUUUCUUUUCCCAUUUCCAUUUUGUACAGAAAAAGCUCCAAAACACUGACCAAUAUGUCUGUUUCCAUUACUUGAAUCCCCAGUGAAAUUACUCUUUCUGUUAAAAGAGGGAUCAUUUGUGUAAAUCUUUUUUUCAACCUGUCAACUAUCUCAUAAUCACAGAUAUUCAACUCAGUAAUGAUUAUUUCCACCAGAGCACAGAAAACAAUCUCCAGUUUUAAAAUGCUGUUGAUAUCCCAUCCAGACAUCUGUCCUGCACUCCAGUCACUGUGUCCCACACCCCACAGUCAGACCAGAGUUGGAACCUAUAGUCCCAGUCAAAAGAUAUGAUGAUGAGACACCCUCUUGGGCCCUCACCCUUCUUCUCCCAUUCCCAUUAGGUACAAACACCACUGAAAGCCUGGAUUCUCCUUCCCAUUGCUAGUAAAUGUCUAUGGAGGGGAUGAAGUGAGUGAGAAGAGAAAUAGAGAACAUUUUUCUUACGGGUCAAGAGAAACAAGUCCUGUUGCUUAGACCCUCCUCCUGCUAUCCUGAUGAAAGGCAGAAAACAAGAUUCCCGUGUAGCUACUAUGUCCAGGAGGGCCCUUCUUCUCUGCUUUGAAUCCAUAGAGGAUUCAAAGAUAACGAUACAGCAGAAGAUGGACACAAGAGAUGCCUUAGGAGAUACAAGAGCACAGGCAGGGCUCAGACCUCACCAUGCCCCCAGGUACCCAUCCCAGGCAACUUCCUAAAGUGCUUUCCAAAGUCCCCAGGACACAGGGGGACCUGCUUAACUUCUUAUCCCAGGGAAAAAAGUGUGUAAAAGAUUUUUCCUGUUACCCUGAGAUUGUGGGAUGUGGGAACCCCACCUCCCUUUGCUGUGGGAGUUCAAGGCAUGAGAAAGGGCUUUGUCUUCUGCCUGGAGAGGUACAGAAGGCAGCUGCUAUAGGAAAGGCAGGAAGAGACAUGCCCUGCUCAGGUUUGGACUGACAGUGUUCAGGGCACCUUGGUGGCAGGGAGUCCUCCCUGGGGCACUCACCAUGCCGUCGGAGCAGUUGGAGCGGGGGCUGGAGGCAUCCGAUUCCCCGCUGUAGUGCUCCAGCACAGGGUAAUAAGUGUCCUCCUGUUCCCGCAGCAGGGCCUGCAGGCUCUCGAUGUAGCGGAUGGCGUUGCGCAGGAUCUCCACCUUGGGCAGGCGCUGGUUGGGGUUGGUGGAGGUGCAGCGCUUGAGGGUCUCAAAGGCCUCGUUGACCUUGCUGAGCCGCCGCCGCUCCCUCAUGGUGGCGGCCUUGCGGCGGUCGGCGUUGGUGGUCUUCCUCUUGCAAGCCUUGCACGCCCACAGCAGGCAGCGGCCAGCCUGGUGGUGCCCGCUGGGUGCCCGAACAUGCUCCUCCUCAUGCCCGUGGUGAUGCCCGUGGUGGUGCGGGUGCUCCUCGGGCUUCAGAAGACCCCCCACGUGCACCAGCCUGGGGUCCAGGUCCUCGAAGAAGUGCAUGUCUGAUGUGUUGAAGCACGGGUCAUCGUAGAAGUCAUCAGCAGUCGUGAAGGAGCAGAGGGAGCCCUCCGUCAUCUCCAUGGGGCCCAUUAUAAAUAUCAACUCUUUCAAAAUCAAUGGCAAAGCUCUGUCUUCAGUGGGGCAAGGACUGACAGAAUCUGAAAAGGUGAUUGAAAAGGAAGAUGGGAAGUCAGAGGCAGAUUGUACUUACGCUGAGAAGCAUGGACAGACUCACCUUAUACAUAACAGACAGGCAGAGCGUCCAGAAUGUGAUUUUGGAAAAGGGAAAGACCUAAAUUAUGAGAAUCUGUGGAUACAUUUGGCUAGAAGAUGAAUAUGAGAAGCCUGAGAAACAGACACGGUAGUAUUUCACAGAAAAAUAAGAGAGCUUGAUGCAAGAAGAACUUUGAAAUAUUUGGUAGAGCCACAUGCGACUGAUCAAAAUAUUCACCCUAAGCACACAAAACAAGAGCAUUAAGAUUUGCUGGAGAUGGGACUCACUUGCAGAACAACCUGGCUUUUUAGAACUUUGGAGACCUUAAUUCAAAGGUCACAAAUUUCUACAAUAAAUGAAGAUAGUCAAGAUUCAGUGUUUUACCAUCAGUUCUUCAGUGCAAGUGAGAGGCAUGACUUCAAGUGGAGCACAAGUUAACACAUCUACUUAACUGUUAAGGCUUAGCAGGUAGAGGGUUUACUGCAUACUUAAGUUUUUAUUGAACUAAUACUUGACACCAAGCUCAAUUGAAGGAUCUUGGAGAUAUAUUCAAUACAGUUUACUGCUUCCCAGUGGAUGCUUAGCAUCAGAAGCCUGUGCCAUCUGAAAUCAGUGAUGCAGGUAAUGACUUCCAGGCAAUGUAAACUUCAGUAAGUGCUCCAGGUGGCCCUUGAGGGAACAUUAGACCUACCUCUUUGAGAAUGGCAUUGCCCUUGGUCCUGUUGAUGUAUGCUCGUGAUCUGGACUCCAGGAUUCAAGCAAGGCUGAGGGACAGAUAUUGUCAGGCAACGCAAGUGGUAAGAAGCUGGAUCAUCUUUCUUCAUCUGCUCACUGCCUUCACAGAAUUUGAAAGUGUGACGAAGUAUUUCAUCCCUUUACAGGAUUAGGGAUGCGGAUUUGCCUCUCUCAGAGGUGCUGCUGGUUGGUUCACUGCCUGAUAGAGGGUGUCUCUAAGACCUGAGGUAACCUGAAGCAUACACUUUCUCAGGAGGUCUGCAGCUGGGCUGGAGAACUGCAAACGUUCAUCCUUUCACUCCUGUCAUCUGCUUCCACAUGACUGCAGUGCCUGUGCUGUGCUCUCAGCUCACUCACCCUGAAACGCUCCUUGUGGUGGUUUGUACUGGGCUGCUACAGAGCAGACUUUGCUUUUGGUGGCAGUAUCCCUUGUUGCUGUGUCAUUUAUAGAGAAGACAGCUUCAUCCUUGCCUUUAUUCCACUGGGACCAGCUGCUCUACCUAGAGGAACCAAAAGUGGCAAAUAUCCUAUAUGCUCUUUCAAUUUUCUAUUGAAAGUCUGCAUCACAUGAACUUCUCAAGGUUUUCUGAGAGGUAAAGCUUUUUUAUUUUUUUAGAAACAAAAAAACCACCAAAACAACCAAAACCACAAACCAGAAACCAACCUAAAACCAACAAAACCAAAACCUACCAAAAGAAAGAAAAAAAUAAAAAUCAAACCCAAGCUGGAGAAACAGCUGCAUCGUGUGGCUGAUUUAGUGCAUGGGAGUACAAAGCAUUCCCACUCUGGUCUUGCACAUCCACUCAUUGUGCCUAUUAAUAGCUGUUAGGCAUGAGUGUAGAUACAGAGAUGGGCAGGACUAGUUCUGCCAUGUGAACAUUUAUCUGGUGGCCCCAUCCUAUUUGCUAGAACCAGAGAUUUCACUGUGAUAAAGUGGACAUCUUAAAUCAUUUUUGGACGACAGGGGGAUGUAAGGUCACUUAAACUAAGCUGGUAUUAGGCAUUCUCAUAUCUUGGAGUAUUCCAGUAAAUAGCAAUUUAUAUAAGCAAUGGAAAUAUGUCCUUCUUAAUCUGUAAAAAGAAAAGGACAAUCUUAAUGAUCUAUCAGUGCUUCAAAUCAUCUUAAGGCAUAUUGAUCCUGAAUCAUCACGGGGAAAUUCAGCAGGUGUGUUUUGGUUAGUGAUCUAGGAAUUUAGAUGUGGUUGACUAUAUGGAAAAUUGUAUCCAGUUGUAUUUAUUACUGUAAAAAAUGAUACCAACUCUCUCUUCCUACAGGCUUUAUCUCCUCUGUUCAUAGUGUUGGCAUUUUAUUUUUUAAUUUUGUUUUAAACUGAGAAACAAUGCAUACUGUAAGGUUGUAAGAUGCUUUUAUGAAUAUACCAUUUAAAAAGA